GUGGAGGCAAACCCAGAGCUUCUCCUUCCGAGUCGGAUUCUCUGCUAUAGCAGCACUUCCCUCGCCGCGCACCCUCUCCACCAAAACACACCUUCUGAACCAAGAGGCAAACUUCUUGAAUAACAGGGAUGCCUGCCGGAAGCUGCCAUCUCCUUCAGCCAUGGGUUCAAGACUGAGCGCGACUCAGACACCAGACACAGUGGAGCACUGGUGACCUCGUGCUCAGGGCCUGCCAGGAAUCUGGGCAUGAACAGUGGCGUCCGAAAACCCCUUUCCUUGAUUUCACUUGUUUGCUGUGUCUGCAGAAGGACCCCAGCCCCAUGAAGACUUUGCAAGGCCUCUUGGAAUGCAAUGAUGAUUCUUCUAAAAAUAUCAAUCCAACAACUCAGGAAGAAGAAUUCCCACUGGGCACCUGCGACUCAGCUAAAGACUGCGUCUCCCAUUUUGCCUGGCGGCUACGGCUGUCCGCGUAGUUAUGCUUGGGCCAACGUGAAAGAGAAGCAGAAGCGGUAUGUGCCCUCUACCAGGCCGGCCCCGUAGCACAAAAGCCUGUGCCCUCCUCCUUCCUGACGGCAAGGGUACGGAAUGAGGGCCGGAGCUGAGGGAGCCGUUCGGAGUGGAGCACCUCUGAACUACUCACCUGAAAUCUGGCAUGGGAGAGAUAAGUUAGUGUAGGCUACUGUAUUUUUGUCUUCUUGAUGCAGUAGCCUCACCU